CAGGUAAUUUCACACCUGAAUUCUGGGCACACCCAUGAUGCUCCUGUCUGAAAAGGGGCAAGAUGACACACCUGGGCCACCUGCAGACCGAGGAGAGGCAGAGGGGCAGCUGGGAAGGCUCAUAGGAGUAAGGACAAAGAGAAAUGAAGAUAGGAGGGGAAGACA